rnacentral:lncRNA from 1 species
CGGGGCGGCAAAACGUCCGCCCGGGCCCGAGGCGGGCGGAGGCAGCUGUGGUUACGUGCGGGGGGCCGGUGACGCAGUCGCGGGGCGCUGGGACGCGGCUUGCGGAGCCGGCCGGCGAGCGCAGGCCCCAGGCUCGGGCGCGGCGGCGGGACAGCACCUACCUUCCCGGCUUCGGGUCCGGGAGUGCGGGGCGCGGAGCCGCCGGAGCGCUGCCUCCCUCCUUCCUCCUCCCCUCGCCCCCGCCCCGCGGCGCGACACACAAUACUCGCCGGAAGCGGAAGCCGCGCCGAGGCUCGUGUCAGUGGAAGCUGGGGUGUCGGCGGGCGGCCGCGGCCGGGUCUAGCGGUGCCUGCGGAAGAAGGAGGAGGAGGGCUGGCGAUGAGAAGCAGCAGGGGGAAUCAAGGGCAAGAAGGGACCCAGAGGGGCAGGUGGCUGAGAUGCUGGCGUCCAGGUGACCCGAGGAAUCCUCUGGAGAUACAGGCCCGCGCAUGCGCGUGCUCGAGCGCUGAAGCCCAUUGCCCGCAGGGCGCUGGACUGGCGCCCCGGCCGGCGAGGCUGUCUAGUCCAGGCUCCAGGCCCCGGCUCUGGCCAGGCGCCGCCGCCUCCCGGUGCAGCUGAAAGUCGACGAAGAGGGCGGGGCGGGGGCGGCUUGUGGACUUCCACACUUUUCCUCUCUUCGGGCCAGUCUGGGGAGAGGGUGGCUAGCUGUGGCGGCGGCCAAUUACGUGGCGGACCUGCGGGGCUAAGCUGGCACGUCACUUCCGACUAGUGGAGUUUUUAGCCUUUUAACAUUCAAGGAUUAGGUAAGUUCUCCCCGCGGUAGACUUCAAAUACUCUUUGUCCUGCCCCUGCUUGGCGAAAUUUACCGAAAUUAUCUACCUAUCCCGCUGGAGUGGGAGCCGGGGGAGAGCUGGAACCGCGUCUCUGCUGCUCACCUUUGUGUCCUUAGCUCCUUCGCAUGGGGUCCGACCGCAACACGUGCGCUGGAUAAACGCUUGUUAACUGGAGCUCCCUCUUUGCCCACUAGCAGGGCAUUAGCUGGUGCUGAAGACAGUGGCUGCUUGGCGAGCCUGGAUCUCCAAGUGACCCCCUCAGCAACUCCUGAUGAACAGGGACUUGCACUUAGGAAUCUGUUACAGUGAGCACAGAAGCAGACCUGUGGGCUCAUAGUCUUCACCCCCCACCCAUAUAUACAAGAUGAACAGAGUGGAGGUUAAACAACUUGACUAAACAACACAGUUCAUGGUAAAGCCCAAGACUGUACCUGCCCAUCCACUGCCUUUUCCAUGUAUCCUGGAACUGAGCAUAGACCUCUUCCCAGGCAGAGCUGACAGCAAGUAAAGGAGAUCAUAAUCAGGGGACCAAACAACUUUGUCUAAAGUGUGAAUGUCACCUAAGGAGAAGCUGUGAGAUCAGAAGGGUGGGGCAGAGGAGCAGACACCAUGAGAGAGAGUCCUUGGGGGUACAUCUGCCAGACUGACACUGUCUGGCCUGGGCAGUGGAGGGGCUAGCAGGAACCACAGGUACUGGUGGUGUGGCUACUACCGUUACAACUGCCUGUGCUUGGACAUGGACCCUCUGCAAUAUGCGGCAGUUUCAUUCAUUGCCCCCUACAUUCUACACCAAGUAGAAAUGGAAGGCAAUUGGAUACUUCACAGACAAGAUCUAAGUGGAGAAGGAAUGCGUCCUGUGGCUGCAGAGAUCCUUGGAGCUUGGAGGGGAGAGCUUGAGCCCCACUGAUGAUGACCUCCCACAGCUCGCCAACUCAGCCCUCCCUAAGUCCCCAUCGGGGGCCAAUUCUCACUCUGGGGUUGGGGGGACUCCACCAUAGCUCAUCCAUCAUAGGGAUGUUGGUAUCUACUGUGGGUUGGGUAGGGCCGAUGUGCUGAGGAUGGCUCCCCCACAAGCAAGAGAUGUGGAUUUGGGGAGCUUCCCAUCUUGUGUUGAAGGAACAUAACUCAGAAUAAUAAGAGCCAACUAUAACAAACCCACAGCCAACAUCAUACUGAAUGGGCAAAAGCUGCAGGCAUUCCCCUUGAAAAGUGGCACAGGAUAAGGAAGCCCUUUCUCACCACUCCUAUUCAAUAUAGUGUUGAAAGUCCUGAUCACAGCAGUCAGGCAACAGAAAUAAUAAAGGGCAUCCAAAUAGGAAGAGAGGAAGUCAAACUAUCCUUGUUUGCAGACAGUAUGAUUCUAUAUCUAGAAAACCCCAUAGCCUCAGCCCAAAAGGUCCUUCAUCUGAUAAUUUCAGCAAAGUUUCAGGAGACAAAAUCAGUGUACAAAAAUCACUAACAUUCCUAUACACAGUCGCCAAGCCAAGAGCCAAAUCAGGAGCACAAUCCCAUUCAUAAUUGCCACAAAAAAGAAUAAAAUACCCAGGAAUGCAGCUAACCAAGGAAGUAAAGGAUCUCUACAAUGAGAAUCACAAACGCUGCUCAAAGAAAUCAGAGAUGACACAAACAAAUGGAAAAACUUUCCAUGCUCAUGGCUAGGAAGAAUCAAUAUCAUUAAAGUGGCCAUACUACCCAAAGCAAUUUAUAGAUUCAAUGCUAUUCCUAUCAAACUAUCAAUUACAUUUUUCACAGAACUAGAAAAAACUUAAAAUUCAUAUGGAACCAAAAAGCCUGAGUAGUCAAGGCAAUCCUAAACAAAAAGAACAAAGGUGGAGGCAUCACAUUACCUAACUUCAAACUACAGGGCUACCAUGACCAAAACAGCAUGGUACUGGUACAAAAGCAGACACACAGACCAGUGGGACAGAAUAGAGAGCCCAAAAAUAAGGCCACAAACCUACAGCCAUCUGAUCUUCAACAAAGUUGACAAAAACAAGCAAUGGGGAAAGGUCUCCCUAUUCAAUAAAUGGUGCUGGGAUAACUGGCUGGCCAUAUGCAGAAGAUCGUAACUGGACCCCUUUUACUAUGUACAAAAAUUAAGAUGGUUUAAAGAGUUAAAACCCAAAAUUAUAAAAAUCCUGAAGAUAACUUAGGCAAUACCAUUCUGGACAUAGGAACUGGCAAAUAUUUCAUGAUGAAGACACCAAAAGCAAUUGUAACAAAAGCAAAAAUGGACAAAUUGGAUUUAAGAGCUUUUUCAUAGCAAAAUAAACAACAGGGCAGACAAUCUACCAAAUGACAGAAAAUUUUUGCAAACUAUGCAUCUGACAAGGGGCUAAUAUCUAGCAUCUAUAAGGAAUUUAAACACAGUUACAGG